AGGCUAGGGAAAACACUUGGAUAAAGAGAAAUAAAAGAUAAAGUCGAGAAUACGAAGACUAGAAAAGUGGAGAGACAAAAACAAAACGAAUUCCAAUUCGAGUCGAUUGAUUCAAUUUAAUUCUAUUCGUAUCGUUAGACUUUGGGUUAAACAAGAAGAGCACUGAAGACGAAUUUAAAGGAAAAAAAGGGAGAAAAAUUGAAAGGGAGAUGGGACGAAUGGAAAGUCGAUCGAUCUUCUCAAAUGAGCAAUUUAUUUCGUUUCAAAUGCCAACAGAAACGGACAAGAAGAACAAAACAAUACGACAAACCGAAGGAGAACAGUUAUGAAGGAGAGAUGCGAGACAAUGAGAUGUAUUUGGAGAAACCACACAACAGAAGAGGAGGUUGGCAAAGCAAACUGCCAACAGCCGACUGACAACACAACCAACAAACAAAAGCAAAGAUUUCAAAGCUAAACGGGCA